UGGGGCGGCAGCGCCGCACAACUGCGCCUGCGCGCGAGUGUAUGCAGCGAGGCUGGGUCUGGCAGGGACCCGGAUCUUCAGUCGCGACUCAGAGUUUCUGUCCCCGCCGGCCGCCAGGGCUGGACUGUUAGAGAUCUUCGCGCAGGGCCCCUGAAUUUGACUCUGAAGCCCUUAUUAAGGGGGUUAUUCCUCCAUCUUGAGGACAUUUUGCAUCCGGCUCCCUUCCUUGUCUGUCUUGGGCAUCGGAUUCCCCAAGGGCGUCUGGUCCUGUUCGCUAGCCAGACUUCGGAAGCUCCCUCGCUCUCAAGAGAGCCCGAGCACAGAUGAGUUUGGGGAUUUUGACCCAGACCCAAACCGGUUCUAGCCCAUAUUAAGGACGUACUCGGGAAAACUGGUCACGUAUGGGCCGGGAACGGAGCUCUGGAGAAGAGAUUCGUCACGCCCGCUGUCCUGAGGUUCUAGAUGUGGCAGCAGUCAAGAAAGUUUGAGCACACAGUUGAGAAAGGAACCCCUUGCACAGCCUUGGAGAAGACUGAACUACAGAGAAGGGGAUUUAUGAGAAAUCUCAGAUGAAUGCAGCUGUCCCUCUCCUGGCUCCAGGUUGUGUGAACAGACAACAGAAUUCAGCACGGGGAGUAAACACAUUUUUGGCUGCCACUGGAGUAUGUGAUUGACCAGAAAGGCCCUUAGUGAAGAGGACUCCUUAGAGGAAGGAGAGAGGUACCUCUGUUCCAGAACAGCACAUGUGGGCAAGAUGUCCAUGACAAUGUUCAUGGAAAGCAUCAAAUGAAAUAGGAAAAAUACCGAAUAUGACCUAAUUAGUCAUUAGAAAGAGAAUGGAUAGGUCAUUUGUGAUAUCUUCAUACA